CGGCCGCGUCGACCUGGCUCAGGACGAACGCUGGCGGCGUGCCUAAUACAUGCAAGUAGAACGCUGAAGAGAGGAGCUUGCUCUUCUUGGAUGAGUUGCGAACGGGUGAGUAACGCGUAGGUAACCUGCCUUGUAGCGGGGGAUAACUAUUGGAAACGAUAGCUAAUACCGCAUAACAAUGGAUGACACAUGUCAUUUAUUUGAAAGGGGCAAUUGCUCCACUACAAGAUGGACCUGCGUUGUAUUAGCUAGUAGGUGAGGUAAUGGCUCACCUAGGCGACGAUACAUAGCCGACCUGAGAGGGUGAUCGGCCACACUGGGACUGAGACACGGCCCAGACUCCUACGGGAGGCAGCAGUGGGAAUUCGUCGACAGUCGGGACACCUGACCGAGCAACGCCGCGUGGGAAGUAGGACGUAGUUUCGGUAGUAACCCGUUUAACGUCUCGGUAGUAAGUUAAGUCGAAAGACGGUACGUGACGGAGUUCGGAACGGUUAGGACCAACGGUACACGAACGGUAGGGACUUACGGAGAAGGACGCUAACGCGUGCAGCG
rnacentral:rRNA from 1 species